rnacentral:rRNA from 1 species
CCUACGGGUGGCAGCAGUGAGGAAUAUUGGUCAAUGGACGCAAGUCUGAACCAGCCAAGUAGCGUGCAGGAUGACGGCCCUCCGGGUUGUAAACUGCUUUUAGUUGGGAAUAAAAGGGGGCUCGUGAGCCCCGUAUUGUAUGUACCAUCAGAAAAAGGACCGGCUAAUUCCGGGCCAGCAGCCGCGGUAAUACGGGAGGUCCGGGUGUUAUACGGAUGUAGUGGGUUGAAAGAGGGCGUAGGACGGCUUGUAAGUCAGCGGUGAAAGUCCGCGGCUCAACCGUGGAAUUGCAGUUGAUACUGGAGGCCUUGGGUGCACACAGGGAUGCCGGAAUUCAUGGUG